AGUCAACCUGCCCUAGAGACAAGAACAACCCCGGGAAACUGGGAUUAAUUCUUGAUAGGUCAUCUCAUCUGGAAGGAGAGAUGGCUUAAAGGGGUACGCGGGCUUCUUCUGCGUAUCCGCUCUAGGAUGGGACUGCGUCCGAUCAGGCUGUUGGCGGGGUAAUGGCCCACCAAACCUGUAACCGGUACGGGCCUUGAGAGAGGUGGCCCGGAGGUGGACACUGAGAGAAGGGUCCAGGUCCUACGGGGCGCAGCAGGCGCGAAACCUUCGCAAUGCGCGAAAGCGUGACGAGGUUAAUCCGAGUGACUUCCGCUGAGGAGGUCUUUUGUCAGCUGUAAAUAGGCAGGCGAAUAAGGGGAGGGCAAGCCUGGUGUCAGCCGCCGCGGUAAUACCAGCUCCUCGAGUGGUCGGGGCGAUUAUUGGGCCUAAAGCAUCCGUAGCCGGUUCCGUAGGUCCUCUGUUAAAUCCAACCGCUUAACGGUUGACCUGCAGAGGAUACCGCGGGACUAGGAGGCGGGAGAGGCGGACGGUACUCCGCGUGUAGGGGUAAAAUCCUUUGAUCCGCGGAAGACCACCAGUGGCGAAGGCGGUCCGCCAGAACGCGCUCGACGGUGAGGGAUGAAAGCUGGGGGAGCGAACCGGAUUAGAUACCCGGGUAGUCCCAGCCGUAAACGAUGCUAGCUAGAUGAUUCAUUCGCAAGUCGCGAAUGAAGUGUCGCAGGGAAGCCGUUAAGCUAGCCGCCUGGGGAGUACGGUCGCAAGACU
rnacentral:rRNA from 1 species